rnacentral:rRNA from 1 species
AAUAUGAAGGCCAGGCUGAAGACUUUUGCCGGAUUUGGCUGAGAGGUGGUGCAUUGGCCGUCGUCAGUUCGUACUGUGAAGCAUCCUGUUAAGUCAGGCAACGAGCGAGACCCACGCCCACAGUUGCCAGCGUACUCUCCGGAGUGACGGGUACACUGUGGGACCGCCGCUGCUAAAGCGGAGGAAGGAAUGGGCAACGGUAGGUCAGUAUGCCCCGAAUAUCCCGGGCUACACGCGAGCUACAAUGGUUGGUACAAUGGGUAUCUACCCCGAAAGGGGACGGGAAUCUCCUAAAACCAAUCUUAGUUCGGAUUGAGGGCUGCAACUCGCCCUCAUGAAGCUGGAAUCCGUAGUAAUCGCGUUUCAACAGAACGCGGUGAAUACGUCCCUGCUCCUU